CAGCAACUCUUCUAUGGUUAAUCCACAUCAGCACUGUCAAUUUUCUAUUCUCUCAAUCUUUGAUUCACGUAUCUAUUGUUAUUCCAAUUCCAAAAACGGUUUCAUUCACGUAUCUAUAGCUAUUCCAAUUCCAAAAACGGUUUCACACGUUUUCUUUUUUCUACCGAACUGUUUCUAUUCCAAUUCCAAAACGCGGUCUCUCUUUAUAUCGAUUUGUUUCUUCUUCCUCUCAAUCUUCAUACAAAACCCUCAUCCACUCUCGAUCGUGAACGGUGGUGCAACCUCUUUCUCAGAUGAAAGGGCGCCGAUUGUUGGUUGAAGGGUUAUGUAAUUGAUGAUUUUGUCGUCGUCGCUCAUCUGUUUCACGAGACAGAAGAAUCAUGACCUGAACUGCAACAACAAUAACUCUGUUUCCUUACUCACCCAUGUUCCAGAACUACAAACUCAUCCAUGUUUUCUCUUAUCUCAUCCAUUGUUUCGAUAGGAAUCAAUCCCGGAACGAUGGGAAAGCUCAAUCAAUAAUCGAUGGAACUCACGGCACAUGGUUGUUCGAUUAAUCUUCUACCGUCAUUGCAUGACCUAACGCAUCUCAGUGAAUUAAAGGUAUCAGCUUUCUGGAAUGACAACAUCGGCUUAUGCUGUUGCUGAGAAAUAUAUGUCAAUGCGUUAAAUCAUGAUACCAGAGACCUUCCAGGCGGUUUUGAUUUUUCUGAUCGGGAAACACCGACCAAUCAUCAGGUCUCAGAAAGCAUUAACUGUGAAUGGAAAGCCAAUAAAUAAAUUGCCUAAUAGGAAAAAGGCAUUCAUGAUGAUGAUUGGAUUUACAUUUGUGAUUUUAAUGCAAUACAAUAUACAGAGUGGGGAUUGAAAUUCCAAAAAUUGAAGUUCGUUAUGAGAAUUUGUCAGUGGAAGGAGAUGAGUAUGUUGGAAGUAAAGCGCUUCCUACUCUUCUUAAUGUCAGCGUCAAUACUUUCAAGAGCAUUUUGGGAUUGUUUCAUCUUUGCAUCGACGAAGAAAAGAGAGAUUUAGAUUCUCAAAAAUGUUUGUGGGAUUGUGAAACCCUCAAGGAAAACUUGAUCCUGAUUUAAGGGCUUCUGGGAAAAUCACUUAUUGUGGUCAUGAGCUAAAUGAAUUCGUUGCUGCAAAAACUUGCGCUUAUAUUUGUCAGCAUGACAUUCACUAUGGAGAAGUCACAGUGAGAGAGACAUUGGAUUUUUCAUCACGUUGUUUAGGUGUUGGCAAUAGGUAUAAAAUGUUGAUGGAACUCUCGCGGAGGGAGAGAGAAGCUAGAAUCAAACCAGACCCUGAGAUUGAUGCUUUCAUGAAGACUACUGCAUUAUCAGGCCAAGAAACCAAUUUAGUAACUGAUUAUGUUCUCAAGAUGCUUGGAUUAGAUACUUGUGCUGAUAAGGUGGAUUUAAUAGAAAGCAGCGAUCAACUAUGCUUGAGGAAACUGACAGCUUGCCCACUUGCAUCCUAAGGGAAGUUUGUUGUCUAGCUUCUAUAAUAACAACAGGGUUCGUGUACCAAUUAAGCGAACAGUUGAAAGAGACUACUUUCAGCAAUAUAGUUUUAAAUUGUAGUUUUAAAUUGCAGUUGUAGAGUGCAAUUUAAAACUAUAUUAAGAUCAAAUGUGAACUAUUAUUAUCAUCAAUGUGGCUGCAAUUGCAUCUCAAAAUCUGUUAUAUUGUGUCCUCCUUUUCCCUUUUUCGAUGCUGCAAGUUGAAUUAAGACUAUUGUGAUGUGCUAUGUGGAACGGUUCAAAAUUUAUCUCUUUAUAUUUCAUGUUUUCAAAGCAUUUAACAUGAAUUGCAGAUGAGCUCAUUGCCAAUGCUGCUUACAUUGGCUCUCCUGGGAAAGGUAUCCUUGCUGCUGAUGAAUCUACGGGCACAAUCGGCAAGCGAUUCGCCAACAUCAGCGUGGAGAAUACCGAAGGAAACAGGCGCACUCUUCGCGAA